GGGUGUAAAUUCCGAAAAUUUGCUUCUCAACGGUGUAUGGAUAUUAACUGCAUUACAUCAGAUGAUUUCUGUGUUAGUCGUUACCCCUCUCUGGAUCUUCUCGUAUUGUUUCAGAAAAUGUUAGGAUAAAUUUGCGAUAAUUCAGUUAACGCUAAAGGACAACGGUAAAACUUUCACUCCACCGUGUCGACCGGAUAAGAGAGAAUAAAGAGUCAGAAAAACAAAAGGCCCCUAAGUUUUUCUUGUGUGUUAAUGGUGAGCAAAUUUCAUGUGGCCGACAUAUCGGACCUCCUUACCGAAAGUAAAGUUUCUUUUGCGUUUUCUUCAUGAGAGACAGUUGUGAUGCACGAAGCUAUCACAGCAAAAUCAUUAUCUAUAAUGAUGUUGUGGUUUGUUUUGUCAUUCAUAGGAUAUAUAGUUAUGUGUCCAAAUGAAUCUGUUUUCUUUUUUAACAUUAUAUUAUUUUUUCUGUUUUGUCUUCAAAUAAAAACAAGUUUCCUCAUGUGUUAAAACAAUGGACCGAAGUAGGCCUUGCCUUCUUAGUGAGAAUUUGUAUCGUAUUUUUUGUUUUUUAAACCCGUUGUGUUUUUGUUCAUACAAAAUGUAACGUUAGUGUUAUUUUCUAAUGAAAUGUUAUCACCUCUUGAGAUGUUCUGAUAUGAAAUACUCACUUCGUCCCAUAUUAAGUGUUGUGAUCAUGAUUACCCUCUUCAUCAAGCUUAUAGGGGUUGCGACAGUUGUCGUCAGAAGGGUGGUUUUGGGUUGAUCUUUGUAUUCGUUUUGUCAGGUUUGUUGAAUAAUAUAAUAAGAAAAGGUUGUGUGUAUUAUUUUGAUGUAGACACCGAUAGGUGCAUCCUCCUUUUGAAAAAAAUAUUAAGUGUCGUACAUGCAUAUCUUGACAAAAUUGCGACACAAAUGGAGUAGUUUCUCAAUAAAGUUUUACUGUUACAAAGCAAUGAUUAGAAUAUAUAUCCGUCGUCUCUUCGCACUGGUUCCAUCAUGUUACCCUAGCCACUGCUAGUGUGAAAUACAACAUAAACUUUUGUGCAAGAGUUGUCUUUAAAAUGUGCUAGUGGUCGCCAGAAAAAUUAAUGGUUUCUAGACAAUUAUAACAAAAAAUUAUUUCUUCGUCGACAAGCUGUGAAUUUUGAACGCAUCAUGGCCCGGGGCACACCCCUUGCA
rnacentral:lncRNA from 1 species